rnacentral:rRNA from 1 species
AAAGACUUGACGGUACUUCACAACAACCUAGAGGAGCCUGUCUAAUAACCGAUACCCCACGAUUAACCCAACCCACCCUAGCCCAUCAGUCUAUAUACCGCCGUCGCCAGCUUACCUUGUGAAAGAAACAAAGUGAACUAAACAGACCCCCCCCUAGCACGACAGGUCGAGGUGUAACAAAUGGGUGGGUAAAAGAUGGGCUACAUUUUCUAAAACAGAAAACACGGACAAACUAUGAAACUAGAAACUGAAGGCGGAUUUAGCAGUAUGUUAAAGACACAAUACUUA